GAUGAAGAACGCAGCGAAAUGCGAUAAGUAGUGUGAAUUGCAGAAUUCAGUGAAUCAUCGAAUCUUCGAACGCACAUUGCGCCCUUUGGUAUUCCUUAGGGCAUGCCUGUUCGAGCGUCAUUUAAACCUUCAAGCUAAGCUUGGUGUUGGGUGACUGUCCGCUUCACGGCGGACUCGCCUCAAAAUUAUUGGCGGCCGGUACAUUGGCUUCGAGCGCAGCAGAAACGCGAACUCGGGCCCGUCGUAUUGGCUCCCAGAAGCUAUCUUCACAAUUUUGACCUCGGAUCAGGUAGGGAUACCCGCUGAACUUAAGCAUAUCAAUAAGCGGAGGA
rnacentral:misc_RNA from 1 species